rnacentral:snRNA from 1 species
GAUUCAGCCCUUUGUCGCUAA